rnacentral:rRNA from 1 species
UACGUAGGGUGUAAGCGUUAAUCGGAAUUACUGGGCGUAAAGCGUGCGCAGGCGGUUAUGCAAGACAGAUGUGAAAUCCCCGGGCUCAACCUGGGAACUGCAUUUGUGACUGCAUAGCUAGAGUACGGUAGAGGGGGAUGGAAUUCCGCGUGUAGCAGUGAAAUGCGUAGAUAUGCGGAGGAACACCGAUGGCGAAGGCAAUCCCCUGGACCUGUACUGACGCUCAUGCACGAAAGCGUGGGGAGCAAACAGG